rnacentral:rRNA from 1 species
CUGCCAGACUCCUACGGGAGGCAGCAGUGAGGAAUAUUGGUCAAUGGGCGAGAGCCUGAACCAGCCAAGUCGCGUGAAGGAUGACGGCCCUACGGAUUGUAAACUUCUUUUGUCAGGGAGCAAUUGAGUCCACGUGUGGGCUUAGCGAGGGUACCUGAAGAAAAAGCAUCGGCUAACUCCGUGCCAGCAGCCGCGGUAAUACGGAGGAUGCGAGCGUUAUCCGGAUUUAUUGGGUUUAAAGGGGGCGCAGGCGGCUUGUUAAGUCGGCGGUAAAACCCGGGGGCUCAACCCCGGCGAGCCGUUGAAACUGGUUUUCUUGAGUGAGUGAGAAGUAUGCGGAAUGCGUGGUGUAGCGGUGAAAUGCAUAGAUAUCACGCAGAACUCCGAUUGCGAAGGCAGCAUACCGGCGCUCAACUGACGCUCAUGCACGAAAGUGUGGGUAUCGAACAGGAUUAGAUACCCGAGUAAAU